rnacentral:rRNA from 1 species
CUACGGGUGGCAGCAGUGGGGAAUAUUGGACAAUGGGGGAAACCCUGAUCCAGCAAUGCCGCGUGUGUGAAGAAGGCCUGCGGGUUGUAAAGCACUUUCGGUUGGGAGGACUGCUUCUAGCACUAAUAUUGUUGGAAGUUGACGUUACCUUCAGAAGAAGCACCGGCUAACUCCGUGCCAGCAGCCGCGGUAAUACGGAGGGUGCAAGCGUUAAUCGGAAUUACUGGGCGUAAAGCGCGCGUAGGCGGCUAGAUCAGUCGGGUGUGAAAGCCCCGGGCUUAACCUGGGAACUGCAUCCGCUACUGGCUAGCUUGAGUACAGGAGAGGAGAGUGGAAUUCCACAUGUAGCGGUGAAAUGCGUAGAUAUGUGGAGGAACACCAAUGGCGAAGGCAGCUCUCUGGCCUGAUACUGAUGCUGAGGAGCGAAAGCGUGGGGAGCAAACAGGAUUAGAUACCCUAGUAGUC